UGGUGGAAUACGAGCAUAACCAGUCGCACGCACAGAACAGAAGGGGGGGAAAGAAACCCCAAAUCGCUGCUGACCUGCUAUUGUUGUUCGAGUUCGAGGGCAGGGGUCUUGAACUUACUCGAUUUCUUCACGAAUCAUCCUCAGGUAUGUGUUGAAAUUGGGGGUGAAUUUUAGCCCUAAACUUGUUGAAAUUGUCAAUCUUCGACGAAUUCUUCUUGAAUCUUCAUAAGAUUAUGCUAUGGGAUUGACCGGCUGCUGCUGUGCCUGCUCUUGUUCGACUGCAAGCUGCUGCGCUACUUGUUGUGAUCUUGUUUGACUUUUCCAAUCUUCAUCAGGUUA
rnacentral:lncRNA from 1 species